UACGGAGUAUGCAAGCGAUAUCCGGAAUGAUUGGGCGUAAAGCGACCGCAGGUGGUUGUGUGUGUCUAUUGUCAAAGCAUCAUGCUUAACAUGAUAAAGGCAGUAGAAACUACACGACUAGAGUGCGUUCGGGGCAGAGGGAAUUCCUGGUGUAGCGGUGAAAUGCGUAGAGAUCAGGAAGAACACCGGUGGCGAAAGCGCUCUGCUAGGCCGCAACUGACACUGAGGGAAGAAAGCUAGGGGAGCGAAUGGG
rnacentral:rRNA from 1 species